rnacentral:rRNA from 1 species
GGAAUUUUCCGCAAUGGGCGAAAGCCUGACGGAGCAACGCCGCGUGAGGGAUGAAGGCCUCUGGGCUGUAAACCUCUUUUCUCAAGGAAGAAGAUCUGACGGUACUUGAGGAAUAAGCCACGGCUAAUUCCGUGCCAGCAGCCGCGGUAAUACGGGAGUGGCAAGCGUUAUCCGGAAUUAUUGGGCGUAAAGCGUCCGCAGGCGGCCUUACAAGUCUGUCGUUAAAGCGUGGAGCUUAACUCCAUUUCAGCGAUGGAAACUGUAAGGCUAGAGUGUGGUAGGGGCAGAGGGAAUUCCCGGUGUAGCGGUGAAAUGCGUAGAUAUCGGGAAGAACACCAGUGGCGAAGGCGCUCUGCUGGGCCAUAGCUGACGCUCAUGGACGAAAGCCAGGGGAGCGAAAGGGAUUAGAUACCCCUGUAGUCCUGGCCGUAAACGAUGAACACUAGGUGUCGGGGGAAUCGACCCCCUCGGUGUCGUAGCCAACGCGUUAAGUGUUCCGCCUGGGGAGUACGCACGCAAGUGUGAAACUCAAAGGAAUUGACGGA